rnacentral:tRNA from 1 species
GGAAACGUGUCCGAGUGGCUGAAGGAGCACGCUUGGAAAGCGUGUGUAUGGGAAACUGUACCGUGAGUUCGAAUCUCACCGUUUCCGCCA